rnacentral:lncRNA from 1 species
ACUACUACUAUACUACAGUGGACUACACUACUACUACUAUACUACAGUGAACUACACUACCACUACUACUACUAUACUACAGUGGACUACACUACUACUAUACUACAGUGGACUACACUACUACUACUACUACUACUACUAUACUACCAGGACUUCUCCCUAUUUGAAACUAUGGAUCUUUAUUGCCUCACCUCUAACUCCAGACCGUUCUUCAACUCUGGGCUGACCCUUUAACCAGGUCUAAAACCAGGACAAUACCAGGACAAAACCAGGACAAUACCAGGUCUAAAACCAGGACAAUACCAGGACAAAACCAGGACAAUACCAGGACAAAACCAGGACAAUACCAGGACAAUACCAGGUCUAAAACCAGGACAAUACCAGGUCUAAUACCAGGACAAUACCAGGACAAUACAAGGUCUAAAACCAGGACAAUACCAGGACAAUACCAGGGCGAACCGUUGGACCAUGGAUGAUGUUAUCAUGGAUUAUAACAAGGGUUCUUUUUUUGGAACUCUAAAGACAAGUGUCGUUAGACCAGGACUAACUAACUGGCAAAGGAACAGAACUUUAAGGACUCCAGAAGGUUCCGCUCUUUUCCUCAUGUUCCAAGAGGAGUACAACUACAGAACUGUCUGGAAUCAACACAUAAUAUUCCAGAAACAUUUUGUUUGCAUCCCAAAACAGCACCCUAUUCCCUAUAUCGUCCACUACUUUUGAAUUUUGCAUAUAGUGCAUUAUAUAGUGCAUUACUUUGAAAGUAGUACACUACAUAGGGAAUAAUAGGGUGCCAUUUGGGAUCCUUUUCGUUGAAUAAGCCCCUCCUCUCUAAACGGUCUGGGGAUCCUUUUCGUUGAAUAAGCCCCUCCUCUCUAAACUGUCUGGGGAUCCUUUUCGUUGAAUAAGCCCCUCCUCUCUAAACUGUCUGUCGCAUGGAUAAAAACGUGUUUUGUUUUUUGAAAGGUUCCAAAACGUUUGUAUAUUAAACGUUGUGAUUCCUCCAUGUGUCGAGUAAUAAAAAAGUUUGAAAUAAUCUGUGUGUGUGUGUACACCUGUGUUUGUGAAUAUGUAGAGAAGUACUGCUAUAAUACAAAAUGGGCCUGGAUAGGUAUUUUACAUAUCAGUUAACCACAUCAUAUGUUACAGCAAUCUGUCGGUCGAUGACGUGGCACGCCUACUCCUGCUCCUUCCCGCCGGCGCUCGACGUCGAUGGUCUACUAACCAACGGUCCUGGCAACCAUCACACCUGGACUUCAUCACCAUCCUGUUUACUCUCCCUUCAGAGAUGUUCCAUCGGGCUCAAGUCCGGGCUCUGGCUGGGCCACUCAAGGACAUUCAGAGACUUGUCCCGAAGCCACUCCUGCGUUGUUUUGGCUAUGUGCUUAGGGUCGGUGUCCUGUUGGAAGGUGAACAUUCGCCCCAGUCUGAGGUCCUGAGCGCUCUGGAGCAGGUUUUCAUCAAGGAUCUCUCUGUACUUUUCUCCGUUCAUCUUUGCCUCGAUCCUACCUCUGAAAUACUUCCCCACAGCAUGAUGCUGCCGCCACCAUGCUUCACCGUAGGGAUGGUGUCAGGUUUCCUCCAGACGUGAAGCUUGGCAUUCAGGUCAAAAAGUUUAAUCUUGGUUUCAUCAGACCAAAGAAUCUUGUUUCUCAUGGUCUGAGAGUCUUUAGGUCCCUUUUGGCAAACUCCAAGCGGGCUGUCAUGUGCCUUUUACUGAGGAGUGACUUCCAUCUGGCCACUCUACCAUAAAGGCCUGAUUGGUGGAGUGCUGCAGAGAUGGUUGUUCUUCUGGAAGGUUCUCCCACCUCCACAGAGGA